rnacentral:miRNA from 1 species
GUGUGUGUGUGUGUGUGUGUGUGUGUGUGUGUUUGUGUAUAAUGUAUAUGUAUAUAUGAUACACACACACACACACACACACAAAAUGGAUUA